UGGGGAAUUUUGGACAAUGGGGGAAACCCUGAUCCAGCCAUCCCGCGUGUGCGAUGAAGGCCUUCGGGUUGUAAAGCACUUUUGGCAGGAAAGAAACGUCAUGGGUUAAUACCCCGUGAAACUGACGGUACCUGCAGAAUAAGCACCGGCUAACUACGUGCCAGCAGCCGCGGUAAUACGUAGGGUGCAAGCGUUAAUCGGAAUUACUGGGCGUAAAGCGUGCGCAGGCGGUUCGGAAAGAAAGAUGUGAAAUCCCAGAGCUCAACUUUGGAACUGCAUUUUUAACUACCGGGCUAGAGUGUGUCAGAGGGAGGUGGAAUUCCGCGUGUAGCAGUGAAAUGCGUAGAUAUGCGGAGGAACACCGAUGGCGAAGGCAGCCACCUGGGAUAACACUGACGAUCAUGCACGAAAGCGUGGGGAGCAAACAGG
rnacentral:rRNA from 1 species